CAUAUCUCAAAGACCCACUUGGAGGUG
rnacentral:misc_RNA from 1 species